rnacentral:rRNA from 1 species
CCAAUAGCGUAUAUUAAAGUUGUUGCAGUUAAAAAGCUCGUAGUUGAAUUUCGGGGUCAGUAGGUUGGUCAUGUCACUGGUAUGUACUGGUCUCACUGAUUCCUCCUUCCUGAUGAGCCGUAAUGCCAUUAAUUUGGUGUUGCGAGGAAUCUGGACUGUUACUUUGAAAAAAUUAGAGUGUUUAAAGCAGGCUAACGCUUGAAUACAUUAGCAUGGAAUAAUGAAAUAGGACGUUCGAUCUUAUUUUGUUGGUUUCUAAGAUUGACGUAAUGAUUAAUAGGGAUAGUUGGGGGCAUUAGUAUUCAAUUGUCAGAGGUGAAAUUCUUGGAUUUAUUGAAGACUAACUACUGCGAAAGCAUUUGCCAAGGAUGUUUUCAUUAAUCAAGAACGAAAGUUAGGGGAUCGAAGACGAUCAGAUACCGUCGUAGUCUUAACCAUAAACUAUGCCGACUAGGGAUCGGAUGAUGUUAAUUUUUUAAUGACUCAUUCGGCGCCUUACG